GAUGAACGCUGGCGGCGUGCCUAAUACAUGCAGGUCGAGCGAAUGGAUUAAGAGCUUGCUCUUAUGAAGUUAGCGGCGGACGGGUGAGUAACACGUGGGUAACCUGCCCAUAAGACUGGGAUAACUCCGGGAAACCGGGGCUAAUACCGGAUAACAUUUUGAACCGCAUGGUUCGAAAUUGAAAGGCGGCUUCGGCUGUCACUUAUGGAUGGACCCGCGUCGCAUUAGCUAGUUGGUGAGGUAACGGCUAACCAAGGCAACGAUGCGUAGCCGACCUGAGAGGGUGAUCGGCCACACUGGGACUGAGACACGGCCCAGACUCCUACGGGAGGCAGCAGUAGGGAAUCUUCCGCAAUGGACGAAAGUCUGACGGAGCAACGCCGCGUGAGUGAUGAAGGCUUUCGGGUCGUAAAACUCUGUUGUUAGGGAAGAACAAGUGCUAGUUGAAUAAGCUGGCACCUUGACGGUACCUAACCAGAAGCCACGGCUAACUACGUGCCAGCCGCCGCAGUAA
rnacentral:rRNA from 1 species